rnacentral:rRNA from 1 species
UACAGAGGUCCCAAGCGUUGUUCGGAUUCACUGGGCGUAAAGGGUGCGUAGGCGGUCGGGUAAGUCUGGCGUGAAAUCGUCCAAGCCUAACUUGGAACUGCGUUGGAUACUAUCCGGCUCGAGGAAUGGAGGGGAGACUGGAAUACUUGGUGUAGCAGUGAAAUGCGUAGAUAUCAAGUGGAACACCAGUGGCGAAGGCGAGUCUCUGGGCCGUUACUGACGCUGAGGAGCGAAAGCGUGGGGAGCGAACAGG